AACGAACGCUGGCGGCAUGCCUAACACAUGCAAGUCGAACGAGACCUUCGGGUCUAGUGGCGCACGGGUGCGUAACGCGUGGGAAUCUGCCCCUUGGUUCGGAAUAACUUCGGGAAACUGAAGCUAAUACCGGAUAAUGACGUAAGUCCAAAGAUUUAUCGCCAAGGGAUGAGCCCGCGUAGGAUUAGCUAGUUGGUGGGGUAAAGGCUCACCAAGGCGACGAUCCGUUAGCUGGUCUGAGAGGAUGAUCAGCCACACUGGGACUGAGACACGGCCCAGACUCCUACGGGAGGCAGCAGUGGGGAAUAUUGCGCAAUGGGCGAAAGCCUGACGCAGCGACGCCGCGUGGGUGAUGAAGGCC
rnacentral:rRNA from 1 species